UUCUCCCUCACCGUCUGCAGAGAAAACUUUGCCACCUCCAUCACCACUACGCCCUGCCACUGCCACUGCCACAACCGCCUUCACCAGCCACCACAACCUCCAUAACCACCCUAUUUCAUUCUACAACCAACACACUACAAAACCCAUCCUUCUAUUUCACAAAUUUCACCAACCCCACCCUCUGUUAGGGUUUUGACAUGGGAGAAUCAGAUUGAUAGGAAGAGAAAGAGAGCAGCAGUAGAAGCAUGGAAGGCAUGAAGAGAAGGAAGAGGAAGAGUAGCGACGUGGGUACAAGCUUAAGGUGCUGCUAUCCUGAGUGCUUGUGAAGUUGUUGAACAAGCCUGAGUGUUGCUGAGAAAGAAGCUUGUGGUGCUGCUGUGUUGCUGUUGCUGCCAAGCCAAGGCUGGAAAGGAGAAUGCAGAAACUUUGAGCUGAAGCUUGCCCAGCUACAGCUCACCCAUUUCAAAUUUUUAUUGGGUUUGUGGUAUUCCUCUCACACUUACCUCUCUGGGCUUUAUAAAAGCUUGUUUCUGAAAUUGUAUAAACCCAACUGAAAGUUACGCUUUAAACUGUGGUCCUAAACCCAUAGAAACUGAAAUCCGUUUUAAGCCCAACUGGUCUUCUGAACCCAGUUUGUGGGCUUGUUCAAAUUGUUUUGGGGCUUGAUUAAUUUAUUUUUGGGCUUGUUUGAGUUGAACUGUGGGCAUGUAACUAUAAUUUUGAAAACUAAAUUGUGGGCUUGUUCAUUGAA